CCAUGGAUUUUUACCUCGCUAACUCGAUUGAUUUUCGCGUACUUGUUUUUGUGCGUUUUUAGCUGUCAUUUCAAUUGCUCUUGAAAGUGAAGACGAAAUGUUCGUAUUAUCAAGGAUUUUUUUUUUCAAGUAUGGAAAACCAGGGAAAACCUUUCAAGCGAACGAUUAAUACGCUAACCAUAGCGCAACGUUUGAGCAUCAUCGAGCAGGUCGAAAAGUAUGGGCGAAAGGUGUCUGAAGUUGCAAAAGAUUUCAGUAUUGCACAAAGUACGGGGUCAACACUAUUCAAGCAAAAGGAAAAAUGGCAUCGGAUGGGAAAAUUGAAUGUGGACAAAAAGCGUAUAAGGUUGGUUGGGAACGAGAAGCUGGAACGGUCAAUGGAAAUUUUUGUCAAUCAAGCCAGAGAGAAUAAUUUACCUCUCUCAGGUUCUAUUCUUCGGGAGAAGGCUUGCGAAUUUGCCCAGAAACUGGGAAUUCCCAAUUUUAAAGGAAGUUCUGGAUGGGUAAGUAAAUUUUUAAAACGGCAAAAGAUGACAUUUCGGAAGCUAUGUGGCGAGAGUGCCAGUGUAGAUCUCAGUGUAACGGACAACUGGAUUUCGCAAACCCUACCCAGUAUAAUCGCCGAGUAUGAUGCACGUGAUAUCUACAAUGCAGACGAAACAGGACUUUUCUACAAAUGUUUGCCAGACAAAACAUUUGCAUUUCGAUCAGAAACUUGCCACGGAGGAAAAUAUUCGAAACAACGUCUGACAGUCAUGUGUGCAACCAACAUGGACGGAAGCGAUAAACUACCAUUACUGGUCAUUGGAAAGAGUAAAAACCCACGGUGUUUCAAAAAGAAGAAAUCAUUACCAGUGAUAUACGAGAGUAACACCAAGGCCUGGAUGACCUCUAUUCUUUUUGAGAAAUGGAUUAUGCAACUUGACAAAAGAUUUUCCAAAGAAAAUAGGAAGGUAUUGAUUCGGGAAUUAAGUGUAAUGGGAAUGUAUCAUACUUAUAUCUCUUUCUCCUCAAAGGUGGUCAUGUUCGUUGAUAAUUGUACAGCGCACCCAAAAUCUCUCCAACCAAAGCUUAAAUCGAUAAAUUUGCAGUUUUUUUCCACCAAACUCUAUUUCAGUAGUUCAGCCGCUUGACUUGGGCAAAAUCAAGAACCUGAAACAGUACUAUCGCCAUGAAUUAGUAAAACGAAGACUGCUCAAAAUGGAGGAUACAACGGACCCUUCAGAUAUAUCGGUAUUGGAUGCAAUUGAAUUACUUUCACGCUCUUGGAUAAACAAGGUUAAAUCUGAGACUGUUCAAAAUUGCUUCAGGAAAGCCGGAUUUUCCAUAAAUGAUGAUGAUGAUAUUCCGCUGGCAGAAUUAAUGCGUCGUGAACUUGCUGCUGUCGACAGUGCAGUACCAUUCGAUUGUUCAUCGUCAUUUGAUGAAUAUUGCGAAAUGGAUCAAAACGUGAUUUGCUGUGAUCUAAUGACUGAUACCGAUAUACUGGAAAGUGUUGAAGAAGUUGAAAAAAACGUUGAAAAUAGUAGUCCUAUGGAGUUAGAGGAGGUUCAGGAAGUUUCAGCUGAUUGUUUUGUAAUUACACCUUCGAACGUUAAAUCGAACCUAAAGAAUAUGUCCGAAAUAUUGCAAUCAACUGAAAAUGUUCCCGUGAAACUAUUUGAACAUUUCUUUGCGAUUGAACAGUUCCUGCGUGAUCGUUACAAUUUAGUUUGAAUUACAUACAUAAUUAAUAUUUUCUUUGUUAACCUAGUUCCUUUUCCAUUUCCAAUUCCAUUUUACAAUAAAAUUGGCCUACUAAACAAACAUCCUAUGUAUUUUAAAUUUAUAUUAAAAUUUGAGAAAAGAAUGUAUAAUAGUACAUGCACUGAGAGAAAUAAUUAGUAAAUAUAACGAAUUUUCUGGUAAAUACUACCAAUCUAUAGUAAUUUUAAUAAACACAUAUGUCAAGCAGAACCAUGAUUCGGAAGCCCAAUAUCGGCUACAUUUUCCCGCCGAAAAUGCAAGUAUCAGAAUUAUAUCCUUAUUAUACCUCCGUAUUGCCUUAUGAGAACAAUGAAAAUGGUAAAUACGCGCUUUUCUCACCAGUUUUCAGAUAUGACAAUAUCCAAGCUUACUAAAGUUAUCGAG